AUUGAACGCUGGCGGAAUGCUUUACACAUGCAAGUCGAACGGCAGCACGGACUUCGGUCUGGUGGCGAGUGGCGAACGGGUGAGUAAUGUAUCGUAACGUGCCCAGUCGUGGGGGAUAACGUAGUGAAAAUUACGCUAAUACCGCAUACGCUCUAUGGAUGAAAGCGGGGGAUCGCAAGACCUUGCGCGAUUGGAGCGGCCGAUAUCAGAUUAGGUAGUUGGUGGGGUAAAGGCCCACCAAGGCGACGAUCAGUAGCUGGUCUGAGAGGACGAUCAGCCACACUGGGACUAAGACACUGCCCAGACUCCUACGGGAGGCAGCAGUGGUGAAUUUUGGACAAUGGGGGCAACCCUGAUCCAGCAAUGCCGCGUGAGUGAAGAAGGCCUGCGGGUUGUAAAGCUCUUUUGUCAGGGAAGAAACACCGGCUCUAACACAGUCCGGGAAUGACGGUACCUGAAGAAUAAGCACCGGCUAACUACGUGCCAGCCGCCGCCGUAA
rnacentral:rRNA from 1 species